rnacentral:rRNA from 2 species
UACGGAGGGAGCUAGCGUUGUUCGGAAUUACUGGGCGUAAAGCGCACGUAGGCGGUUACUCAAGUCAGAGGUGAAAGCCCGGGGCUCAACCCCGGAACUGCCUUUGAAACUAGGUGACUGGAAUCUUGGAGAGGCGAGUGGAAUUCCGAGUGUAGAGGUGAAAUUCGUAGAUAUUCGGAAGAACACCAGUGGCGAAGGCGACUCGCUGGACAAGUAUUGACGCUGAGGUGCGAAAGCGUGGGGAGCAAACAGG